rnacentral:sRNA from 1 species
GAGUACUUUAUAGACGUACACGGCGCGAUUAUGAGAGGUACACAGUAUUUUGUUU